GACAUAACUAUGGUCCCUAACUGUAAGAA
rnacentral:piRNA from 1 species